rnacentral:rRNA from 1 species
GAUGAACGCUGGCGGCGUGCUUAACACAUGCAAGUCGAACGGAAAGGCUCCUGCUUGCAGGGGUACUCGAGUGGCGAACGGGUGAGUAACACGUGGGUGAUCUGCCCUGCACUUCGGGAUACGCCUGGGAAACUGGGUCUAAUACCGGAUAGGACCACAUUUUGGAUGGUGUGGUGGAAAGUUUUUCGGUGUGGGAUGAGCUCGCGGCCUAUCAGCUUGUUGGUGGGGUAAUGGCCUACCAAGGCGUCGACGGGUAGCCGGCCUGAGAGGGUGUACGGCCACAUUGGGACUGAGAUACGGCCCAGACUCCUACGGGAGGCAGCAGUGGGGAAUAUUGCACAAUGGGCGCAAGCCUGAUGCAGCGACGCCGCGUGGGGGAUGACGGCCUUCGGGUUGUAAACUCCUUUCGCUAGGGACGAAGCGCAAGUGACGGUACCUGGAGAAGAAGCACCGGCUAACUACGUG